AGAGUUUGAUCAUGGCUCAGAAUGAACGCUGGCGGCGUGCUUAACACAUGCAAGUCGCACGAGAACGCUUCAGCUUGCUGAAGCUAGUAAAGUGGCGCACGGGUGAGUAACGCGUGGGUAAUCUACCCUCGAAUUGGGGAUAACAUCGCGAAAGAGAUGCUAAUACCGAAUGAUAUCUUAAAAGCUUCGGUUUUAAAGAUCAAAAGUGGCCUCUACUUGUAGGCUACUGUUUGAGGAUGAGCCCGCGUACCAUUAGCUUGUUGGCAGGGUAAUGGCCUACCAAGGCUACGAUGGUUAGCUGGUCUGAGAGGAUGAUCAGCCACACUGGAACUGACACACGGUCCAGACUCCUACGGGAGGCAGCAGUGAGGAAUUUUGCGCAAUGGGGGAAACCCUGACGCAGCAACGCCGCGUGAGUGAUGAAGGCUUUCGGGUCGUAAAGCUCUGUCAAGUGGGAAGAACCCACAUGGUGCUAAUAUCACCAUGUGCUGACGGUACCACUGAAGGAAGCGCCGGCUAACUCCGUGCCAGCAGCCGCGGUAAUACGGGGGGUGCAAGCGUUAUUCGGAAUUACUGGGCGUAAAGAGCGCGUAGGCGGUCCCAUAAGUCAGAUGUGAAAUCCCGGGGCUUAACCCCGGAAGUGCAUUUGAAACUAUGGGACUUGAGUAUGGGAGAGGGAAGUGGAAUUCCUGGUGUAGCGGUGAAAUGCGUAGAUAUCAGGAGGAACAUCGGUGGCGAAGGCGACUUCCUGGACCAAUACUGACGCUGAGGCGCGAAGGCGUGGGGAGCAAACAGGAUUAGAUACCCUCGUAGUCC
rnacentral:rRNA from 1 species